CCUACGGGACGCAGCAGUGGGGAAUCUUGCGCAAUGGGCGAAAGCCUGAUGCAGCGACGCCGCGUGAGGGAUGAAGGUCUUCGGAUCGUAAACCUCUGUUAGCAGGGAAGAACGGUCACUGUGCUAGUCAGCCGCGUUUUGACGGUACCUGCACAGGAAGCACCGGCUAACUCCGUGCCAGCAGCCGCGGUAAUACGGAGGUGGCGAGCGUUAUUCGGAAUUACUGGGCGUAAAGCGCUCGUAGGCGGUAUUUCAAGUCUAGGGUGAAAUCC
rnacentral:rRNA from 1 species